CCUCAGCCGUAAAACAUUAACCUACACCAUAAGCCGCCCGAGAACUACGAGCACUCGCUUAAAACUCAAAGGACUUGACGGUGUCCCACCCAACUAGAGGAGCCUGUUCUAUAAUCGACAAUCCCCGCUAUACCUCACCACUCCUAGCUUAUCAGUCUGUAUACCUCCGUCGAAAGCUUACCCUGUGAACGAUCAUUAGUAAGCCACAUGGUCUAUCCACCAAAACGUCAGGUCAAGGUGCAACUUACGAAGUGGCAAGUAAUGGGCUACAAUUUCUAAACUAGAAUAAACGAAAAGAUCUGCAUGAAACACAGUCAUGAGGGCGGAUUUAGCAGUAAAAAGAAAAUAGAGAGUUCUUUUUAACCCGGCACUGGGACGUGUACACACCGCCCGUCAUCCUCUUCGACUAACACACUAAUAGUUUAUAACACCCCCCAUAUAAAGAGAAGAGGCAAGUCGUAACAUGGUAAGUAUACUGGAAAGUGUACUUGGAUUAA
rnacentral:rRNA from 1 species